GCAGGACCCGCUUAAAACAACACAGCUUCAAGAUGAACGCAACAAAAUCAACGAGUGCUUGUUUCACUCACUUUUGUUAUUCAAUAGACCCAGCAUGUUCUGUGUGUUUCACACUAAACCCAUGAACAGAGGCUGCAUUCACAGUCCUACUCCAGCUAUUUUUCUAUAAGUCCACCUGUUGCUGGCCAUGGUUCAACCUGGCUCUGCGUGGGUAUUAAUUCAUCACAGACCAGGUAUGAAACAAGGAACUUCCGAUUCUUAUCUGCCACCAGGUGCAGGAAACUGCACUUUAACUCACCUGCUCACACCGGAGUUAUGAACUUAAAACACGGCUAAACGCGCCGAGGUGGGGGGUGCAAUUAAACCCCAGUAAAUACUGACAAAUGCACGAAUACAGAGACAGGGAUACCGCUGGGUACGAGCUGCUCAGAAGCAGAUUAAUGGGAGAAUCGUGCGGCCAUUGUGCAGUUUGACUUAACCACAACAAAGUGAUGAGACUGGCUUUGUAACGAGCAGCAAACAGACGCCUUGGGAAUAGUGAAGUUAGGAUAAAACUACCACAGCGUGACACCGUUACAGCCCCUUCUCCCUUCACACGAACACACAGGUCGUUAUUUAGUAACGGAGCAGACUCAUGUAACGUUUUCUCAAAUAGCGUUUGAGUGAUUUGAAUUAACGUGACGCACAAGAGCUUACAAAGACGAAAUAACUUGGAGAAUAAAAAGCGUGGCAACAAAGUUACGCACGACUUUUUACCUUGCAUCGAGUUCUUGCUGCAGCUAAACGCACCGGGUGGAGGUUGGUUUCUUAUUAAAUCACAUGUAUGAGCUUGUAUGAGCAGAACAACCUUUGACCUCCCAGCAACUUGGAACACAACCCUCCCUAAACCAAGAUAAGCACCCUCCUGAAGAAGAUAAAGCUCCGUCUGCAAACACGCAGGAAUCAUUACACCCGUCAGUCCAGCUUGACUGACCGUUCACGUCCUCUGCUUUGGCUUUUUCUGUCGGUCUGUUGUGAGAGGGAGAGCAGCGGCGGCUGUCAGCUUCCCUCCACAGAGGAACCACACGACACCAGAGGGGAAGAAAAGCUCAGAGAAGCUCAGAAAGGACGACCACCAGCUGCCUCCACCCAGGACCACCCCCUCUGUGCUUCCUCUGGGAGACAGCUCCAAUCCAUUAAGAACAAGACUACCCACCACCUCAGCAGCAGAUAGCAUUACCAAUCCUCUUAACACUCACCCCCUGCAUGCAGCCACAACCUCUGGACUGCUGCUUUUUAUUAUUUAGGCACGGCAUGGAACAACUGUGAUGUCUUUUUCAGAACAUAUUCCACCGACUUUCCACACAGAAACAUAUCUGAGUUUAUUUUCCCGACAGUAAAUGACUGUACUACCCAGUGAGAUUGAAUGUGCCAACUCAGACAUCUCAUUUCUUUUCAUUGUCUUCCAUGCUGCUCAGACACACACUCCUUAAACACAGGGAGGCCAUUGUGUAACACACUGAUGUUACUUUAACCUAUUUGGGUCAGGUUGAAUUGUGCUGCACUGCUGAGGCAAACUGACCCGUUCUGAGUUUGUACCACAAAUAAAUGACUCAGUAAAAAGCAUUUUGUCAACAUGAAACUUAACAUGCAUUGGAGGAACAUGUGCAGUUAAACAUCUCACUAAUACACUCACAGUUCUGUUGAUUUAAUGUAGUUUUUUUGGAGGAGUCAGACUGUUUGCUGUAGUAAAUGUGCCAAUAAAGGUGAUCAGACUUCACUGAAGGAUCCAUUUGUUGCACAGAUGCUGGAUCAGACUGGGAUCUGGGAUCUGCAUCUUUGUCAUGUUCCUCCAGACAUUUCAGAGCAGGUUUUUGGUUUGGUAGGUUCAUCUUUUCUUUUCCCUUCUUACUUUUAAGGCUAAAUGUGAUCAUGAACAUCACAUUCUAUA